rnacentral:rRNA from 1 species
GGCUUAGAUGUUCUAGGGGGACGAUAAGACCCUAUAAAGCUUUACAGUGUAUUGAUUAAAUUUUAAAUUGUUAGUAUUAACUUAAUUUAUUUAAUAACUGUUUCGUUGGGGCGACGAAAAUAUAAUAAAUAGUAACUGUUUUUCUUUUAGAAUAACAAUAAAUUUUUGGGAGUAAUUGAUCCUUUCUUAAAGAUUAAAAGAUUAAGUUACUUUAGGGAUAACAGCGUAAUCUUCUUUGAGAGUUCAUCUCGACAAGAAGGG